rnacentral:lncRNA from 1 species
UUUUAAUUCUUUAGUUGUUUUUGCAAUUACAGGUGUACCCUCAAUCCCCGGUUAGAACGAUCCCUAUUUACCAUAUACUAACGAUGACAUUUUCAGGGUUAAAUUAUGCGCUUACUUUUAGCAACCUGAACCACGCCUUAUGAUCCCUGGUCAUUCAAUCUAAGAACUACAUGAACAAAGAUUGAUGUCUACAAAGAGAUAUUGUUAGUAUAGAGUUGGCAUUCAUUCUUUAACAAAACUCUACUCAUUAAGAAGUCCAAGUCAUGAGUUUAUUAAGCCCAAGUGUGAUGAAGCCAAAUCUCAAGACCAUAAUUGUUUAUUUACAAUUGUUUCACUUGUGGCUGUCUUGCUGUCAAAGACCCAGACCAAGACCAUGAUUGAAGAUUAGUUCAAUUGCAACUUGCUACCUCAUCAUAGCUUGCUGUCUUUCUUCCCCAUCUUAGCUUGUUGUCAUGUCGAAACACCAUACUUGAAGAUAGAAGAAGUGUCCUCUUCCUCAGUGUGAGAGAGAGUUUCCU